CAUUGAAACACCGGUUCCCGUACGAUCACAGAAGGUAAGCAUUAUAGAUCCUGAUCAGUGCCUAGAUGGGUGACCGCUUGGAUGUGCAAGUGGUGUA